rnacentral:telomerase_RNA from 14 species
GGGCUGAGGAGGGUGGGCUCGGGAGGGGCCCGGUCAUUUCUCAUCUAACCCUAACUGAGCAGGGCGUAGGCGCCGCGCUUUUGUUUCCCCGCGCGCUGUUUUUCUCGCUGACUUUCAGCGCGUGGGAAAAGCCUUGGCCUACCGCCGUCCACCGUUCAUUUCGCAGUAAACAAAAAAUGUCAGCCGCUGGCCGGUUCGCCCUUCCCGGGGACCUGCGGUGGCUCGCCCGCCCGGCCCCCGUGCCCCGCCUGAGGCCGCGGUCGGCCCGGGGCUUCUCCGGAGGUGCCCAAUGCCGCCGCGAAGAGUUAGGCUCUGUCAGCCGCGGGUCCCUCGGGGGCCAAGGGCGAGGCGCAGGCCGUCUGGCCGCAGGGAGAGGAACGGAGCGGGUCCCCCAGCGUGGUGCGCUUCCCUGAGCUGUGGGACUUGCACCCGGGACUCGGCUCAAACACGC